GUGAGUCAUCGAAUCUUUGAACGCAAAUUGCGCCCGAGGCUUCGGCCAAAGGCAUGUCUGCCUCAGCGUCGGCUUCACCCCUCCCCUCCCUUUCUCUUUUUCGGGAGAGAACAGGCGAGGGGGACCUGGUUGUCCCGGUCCCUCACGGGUCCGGGUCCGCCGAAGCACAGAGGCUCGAGCAGGACCCCGUUUACAAGGGCAACAGUCUGGUAGGCGACCUCCCCGGUCGCAUGCCGCUGGUGCCUGGGGCGCCUGCUGGUCGAGCCCGCAGGAAGUGGCUGCUUGCCACGCCUUCACCCC
rnacentral:misc_RNA from 1 species